UAACACAUGCAAGUCGAGCGAGGACUCCGGUCCUAGCGGCGGACGGGUGAGUAACGCGUGGGAACGUGCCCUUCACUGCGGAAUAGUCCCUGGAAACGGGGUUUAAUACCGCAUACGCCCUUCGGGGGAAAGAAUUUCGGUGAAGGAUCGGCCCGCGUUAGAUUAGGUAGUUGGUGGGGUAACGGCCUACCAAGCCUACGAUCUAUAGCUGGUUUGAGAGGAUGAUCAGCCACACUGGGACUGAGACACGGCCCAGACUCCUACGGGAGGCAGCAGUCGGGAAUCUUAGCCAAUGGGGGCAACCCUGAUCUAGCCAUGCCGC
rnacentral:rRNA from 1 species